rnacentral:ncRNA from 2 species
AGCGAUGCUCUGAUCGAUGGUUCCCGAAACCCGCGAGGGUGAAGGGAUGAAAAGGGAACACGGUGAGGCGUAGCCAUCAGGCACCAAACCCGUGACUGCCCCCGCAACUGUGAGCGGUGAGCGACCCCGUGGACACCACUGGACCGAUGCGGUCCGGGAAGGUUCGGGGAAGCCGUGACCCGCGAGUCAGGAGACCUGCCAUCGAUGGUGCGCUUUC